rnacentral:rRNA from 1 species
ACUCAAAGGAAUAGACGGGGCCCCGCACAAGCAGCGGAGCGUGUUGCUUAAUUCGAUGCGACGCGAAGAACCUUACCUGGGCUUGACAUGCAGGGAAAAGCCGUAGAGAUACGGUGUCCUUCGGGGCCUUGCACAGGUGGUGCAUGGCUGUCGUCAGCUCGUGUCGUGAGAUGUUGGGUUAAGUCCCGCAACGAGCGCAACCCUUGUCCUAUGUUGCCAGCGGAUUAUGCCGGGGACUCGUAGGAGACUGCCGGGGUCAACUCGGAGGAAGGUGGGGAUGACGUCAAGUCAUCAUGCCCCUUAUGUCCAGGGCUGCAAACACGCUACAAUGGCCAGUACAAAGGGCUGCAAACCUGCGAAGGUGAGCGAAUCCCAUAAAGCUGGUCUCAGUUCGGAUUGGAGUCUGCAACUCGACUCCAUGAAGCUGGAGUUGCUAGUAAUCCCGGAUCAGCACGCCGGGGUGAAUACGUUCCCGGGGCUUGUACACACCGCCCGU